GACGAACCGUGCGAACGUUGUUCGGAAUCACUGGGCUUAAAGGGCGCGUAGGCGGUUUGACAAGUCUGGGGUGAAAUGCCGCGGCUCAACCGUGGAACUGCCUUAGAUACUGUCGGCCUCGAGGAAGGUAGGGGCAUGCGGAACUGUAGGUGGAGCGGUGAAAUGCGUUGAUAUCUACAAGAACUCCGGUGGCGAAAGCGGCGUGCUGGACCUUGACUGACGCUGAGGCGCGAAAGCGAGGGGAGCAAACGGG
rnacentral:rRNA from 1 species